AGUCAGUCUAGUUCUUUUAUGUGAGCUGCCACCACCACAUGGCAGUGUGUUCUGCCAUAUUCAGGUAGCGUGGUUCUGCGACUGGGAAGUGAACCCGAGCUGCCAAAGUGGGGAGUGCUGAACUUUUAACCACUAGGCCAUUGGGACUGGCUCUUUCUAUUUCUUCUUGAUUCAGUUUUGGAAGGUUAUAUGAUUCUAAGAAUUUAUCCAUUUCUUAUAGAUUAUCCAAUUUGUUGGCAUAUCGGUUUUCAUGGGAUUCUCUUAUAAUCCUUCAUAUCCCUGUGGUGUCCUCUGUAAUUUCUCCUUUUUCAUUUCUGAUCUUGUAUUAUUUCAGCCUUCUAUCUUUUUCUCUUGGUGAGUCUAGCUAAAGGUUUCUCAAUUUUGUUUACCUUUUCCAAUAACCAGCUCUUAGUUUCAUUGAUUCUUUCUAACCCCUUUUUUGUUUCAAUAGGAUUUAUUUCUGCUCUGGUUUGAUAAUUUCUCUCCUUCUGCUGACUUUGGCUUUUGUGUGUUCUUCUUUUUCUAAUUCAGCUAGGUGUAAUUUGAGAUUACUUAUUUGGGAUUUUUCUUGUUUGUUAAGGUUUGCCUGUAUUGCAACGGAUUUGCCUCUUAAUACAGCUUUUGCUGCAUCCCAUAUCAGUUGGUAUGGCUUGUUAUCAUUUUCAUUUGUCUCCAGAUACUUUUUGAUUUCUCCUUAAUUUCUUCAAUGCUCUAUUGCUUGUUCAACAGCAUAUUGUUUAGUCUCCACAUCUUUGUCCCUUUCUCAGCUUUUUUCUUGUAAUGAAUUUCUAGCUUUAUAGCAUCACGACCAGAGAAGAUGCUUGUUAUUAUUUCAACUUUUCUAAAUUUAUGGAGGUUUGCCUUGUUUCCCACCAUAUGGUCUAUCCUUGAGGAUGUUCCGUGUGCACUUGAGAAGAAUGUGUAUUCUGUUGUUUUUGGAUGGAGUGUUCUAUAUGUGUCUCUUAAGUCCAACUGUUUUAGCUUUUGGUUUAAUUCCACUGUUUCCUUGUGGAUUUUCUGUCUAGAUGAUCUGUCCAUUGAUGUGAAUGGGGUGUUGAGGUCCCCUGCUAUUAUAGUGUUAUUUUUGAUAUCUUCUUCUUUUAGGUUUGUUAAUAGUUGCUUUAUGACCUUUGGUGCUCCUGUGUUGGGUGCAUAGAUAUUCCUAAGCGUUAUUUCUUCGUGAUGGAGUGUCCCUUUGAUCACUCUAUUGCCCCUCUUUGUCUCUCUUUACCUGCUUUAUCUUGAAGUCUACUCUGUCUGAUAUAAGUAUUGCAACAUCUGCUUUCUUUUGUUUGCGAUGAGCUUGGAGUAUCAUUUUCUAGCCCUUCACUCUGAGCCUGUAUUUGCCAUUGGAGCUGAGACGUGCUUCCUGGAGGCAACAAAUUGUUGGAUCUUGUUCUUUAAUCCACCUUGCCAGUCUGUGUCUUUUUAUUGGAGAGUUCAAUCUGUUUACAUUGAGGGUGAGUAUGGGAUGUAUGAGGGCUUAAUGCUGUCAUUCUAUCAUUUGUUUUCCGGUUUUCCUGCAUUUCUUUUGUUUCUCGUCCUCUGUGUUUUGGUCUACCCAUUGAGUUAUGCAGUUUUUUAUGAUGUGUUUCUUUGUUCUUUCCUUGUUUGUUUUUUGUGUCCCUGUUCUGCUUUUUAGUUUAGUGGCUACCAUGAAGGUUGUAUUCAGAAUCUCACGUAUAACAUAGUCCACUUUCUGAUGGCCUCUUAUUCCCUUAGUCUAAACUGAUUCAGUCCCUUUCCUCCUCCCCUCCUAAGUUAUUAUUCUGAUAUCUUAUUCUAACUUGUGUUGUGAGUUUGUGGUUAAAGUGACAAGAUUGUCUUUGUUUUCAGUGUUUUCCUUCCCUCUAGCCUAAUGCUAUAGUUGAAUAUUUGCUAUCCUAUUCUGAUUCUGUCUAUCAAUAUGUCUCCUUGCUCUGUGUUUUGUGACCCCUUUCUCCUGUUUUUUCUUUUUUUCAGGUAUGAUGGCCUUCUUGAGGAUUUCUCAUGGCAGUGGGGGUCUCAUGGCUACGAAGUCCCUUAGCUUUUGUUUGUCUUGGAAAGAUUUAAUUUCUCCCUCAUAUCAGAAGGAUAUUUUUGCUGGAUAGAAUGUUCUUGGCUGAAGAUUUUUAUCUUUCAAAGAUUUGAAUAUGUCAUUCCACUCUCUCCUGGUUUUUAAGGUUUCUGCAGAGAAAUCUGGUGAAAGUCUGACAGGGGUAACUUUGUAGGUUAUUUUCUUCUGCCAUGCUGCCCUGAGUAUUCUUUCUUUGUCAUUCAUUUUUGCCAGUUUUACUACUAUAUGUCUUGCAGUAGGUCUUUUUACAUUGACAGAUCUAGGAGAUCUGGAAGCUUCCUCCACACAUAUUUCCCUCUCAUUCCCUAGAUUUGGGAAGUUCUCUGCUAUUACUUCUUUGAACAUGCUUUCUGCUCCAUUCUCCUUCUCUUCUCCUUCUUGAAUACCUAUAAUUCUUAUGUUGCAUUUCCUCAUUGAGUCGGAUAUUUCUCAGAGACUUUCUUCAUUUCUUUUUAGUCUUACUUCUCUCUCCUCCUCUGUCUGGAGCAUUUCAACAUGUCUAUCUUGGAUUAUGCUGAUUCACUCCUCUAUGGUGUCCACACAAACAUUCAGUGGAUAGUAUUUUGUUUCGUCUCUUCCGUUGUGUCUUUCAUCUCUAAUAUUUCUGAUUGAUUCUUCUUUACAGUUUCAAUCUCUUUUGUGAAGUAGCUCCUGAAUUUGUUGAAUUGUUUCUCUACGUUCUCUUUUACCUCAUUGAGUUUUUUGAUGAUAGCUAUUUUGAAUUCUUUGCCAUUUAGUUUGCUUAUUUCUGUGUCCUCAGGACUGAGUUCUGGGUGCUUGUUGUUUGCUCUCUGGUCUGGAGAUGUGAGGAAUUACCUGAUGUUGGAAGUUUGUGUCUUUCCCAUUCUGAUAUUAUUUGGUUGCAGUUACAGCCUAUCGCCAGUGGAUGAGGGGUCAAGAGCCGCAUAUUCUGAACCCUCUGCCUUCAGCCGAGAUGGCGCAAGGUGGGUCAGGGGAGGGGCGCUUUCUCCUGUGUGCAGUCCCGGGUUUCUGGAUCAGCUCUCACUAUCUGGUCUCCUGGGGUCUUGGUUUGAUAAGGUCACCGUGUGUGAAAGCUUUCGCCCCAUUAGAGGGCUUCCCUCUAGGCUGCAAGGACCCUAGGGAGUCCUGGAUGAUCCUGUGGAUUCGCGACCCCUCCCCCACUCCUUCCCUCAUGGAACCUCCCACGGCAGUGACUGCAGUCUUUAGAGGAGGGAGCGAAGUUCUCUCUUACCCUGUUCCAGCUCCUCUGAGUGGGGCUCCAGCUUCUCCGCCCUCUGUCCUGUGGCUGCCAUGACCCUCCGAGGAUUUUUGUGCUUUUAGGGUAUUUUCUGUUGGAAUGUGGUUGCUCCUUUUUGUUGUCUGUUGGAGGGGAGAGAGUCCCGGUCAAGUUCACUCUGCCAUGACGCUGACAUCUGUCUAAUACUUUUGUCUUUUGACCUAGAUACUAGCUUUAUAGGUGGUUGAUCCACUACCUUUACUGUAUAUGUGACCUUACCAG
rnacentral:lncRNA from 1 species